UCAACUUCUAGAUUGUAAAAAUUUAGAAACUAAAAAAAACGCAAUAGCCAAGCAUUUGCAUGCAUAAUGCAAACAUGCUAGAUCAAAUAGUAUGUCUUUCAUUUGUUUUUGAGAUUAUAACCUUAAUAUGAGGCCAAGCAAAAGGUGUUUGACAACAUGAUUUGUGGAACAUGAUUUCUCAUAAUUCAUUAAUGGCUGUUUGCAAAUAGCCAUAUAUAACCUAUAAC